UCCAGCCCAUAGGCCGUUACGGGAAACCGAGGAAACACCGUCCUCCGUAUGGAGCUGGAGCCCCGUAAGGGGCUGGGGCAAUACCCCAGGCUCUGGCACAGAAACGAUAUGCCCACAAAUCGAUGAGGAUGAUGUGGCGAGGCCCUCUAGGUAACUAGGGGGCAGAGACCUAUUGACGAGAUUUGUGGAGGCAGUGAAACGGCCAUCCUCCAGGGAGUAAGGACUACUCCAAUGAAUCUCCAUAUGAGGGGUAGAGAGCCGCUCUAGCCGAAUACGGCUUGAUCACAGAAGACGGGUUAUUAUGGGCUGGA
rnacentral:RNase_P_RNA from 1 species